rnacentral:rRNA from 2 species
UCGAGCGGAGUGAUGGUGCUUGCACUAUCACUUAGCGGCGGACGGGUGAGUAAUGCUUAGGAAUCUGCCUAUUAGUGGGGGACAACAUUUCGAAAGGAAUGCUAAUACCGCAUACGUCCUACGGGAGAAAGCAGGGGAUCUUCGGACCUUGCGCUAAUAGAUGAGCCUAAGUCGGAUUAGCUAGUUGGUGGGGUAAAGGCCUACCAAGGCGACGAUCUGUAGCGGGUCUGAGAGGAUGAUCCGCCACACUGGGACUGAGACACGGCCCAGACUCCUACGGGAGGCAGCAGUGGGGAAUAUUGGACAAUGGGCGCAAGCCUGAUCCAGCCAUGCCGCGUGUGUGAAGAAGGCCUUAUGGUUGUAAAGCACUUUAAGCGAGGAGGAGGCUACUGAAGUUAAUACCUUCAGAUAGUGGACGUUACUCGCAGAAUAAGCACCGGCUAACUCUGUGCCAGCAGCCGCGGUAAUACAGAGGGUGCAAGCGUUAAUCGGAUUUACUGGGCGUAAAGCGCGCGUAGGCGGCUAAUUAAGUCAAAUGUGAAAUCCCCGAGCUUAACUUGGGAAUUGCAUUCGAUACUGGUUAGCUAGAGUGUGGGAGAGGAUGGUAGAAUUCCAGGUGUAGCGGUGAAAUGCGUAGAGAUCUGGAGGAAUACCGAUGGCGAAGGCAGCCAUCUGGCCUAACACUGACGCUGAGGUGCGAAAGCAUGGGGAGCAAACAGGAUUAGAUACCCUGGUAGUCCAUGCCGUAAACGAUGUCUACUAGCCGUUGGGGCCUUUGAGGCUUUAGUGGCGCAGCUAACGCGAUAAGUAGACCGCCUGGGGAGUACGGUCGCAAGACUAAAACUCAAAUGAAUUGACGGGGGC